UAGGGUUUUUUCUAGGUUUGUGUUGCUCCAAAAACAUUCAAAUUAAAGUUCGGGGUUUAUUCUUCUGCCUUGUUUAUCAAAGAACAGAUUUGUGAGGAUAUACCGCAAGUGCUGGAUUCAGAUGUGCCUGGGUUAGCUGAAAGGCCUAUCAACAUAUUUCUUCCUCGGUUAUUUCAGUUUUUUUCAGUCUCCCCAUGCUUCAUGGUUUGUUUGCCCUUGCUAAUGACACUGCAGCAGAAGUGCGGAAAUUGACGCUUCUAAAAAGUUCAAGGUCAUUCUGGCUUGGUGGCAAGAUAUGACAGAACAAAACUACAAUAGUGUUGUAAAACCUGUUCCUUCUACUUCAUCUUUCGUCCCAGCACAGAAGAUAAGCACGGACAUU